rnacentral:rRNA from 1 species
GAUGAACGCUGGCUACAGGCUUAACACAUGCAAGUCGAGGGGAAACGACGGGGAAGCUUGCUUCCCCGGGCGUCGACCGGCGCACGGGUGAGUAACGCGUAUCCAACCUGCCUCUGACUGAGGGAUAACCCGUCGAAAGUCGGCCUAAUACCUCAUGGUAUCGUCUGCGGGCAUCCAACGACGAUUAAAGAUUUCAUCGGUCAGGGAUGGGGAUGCGUCUGAUUAGCUUGUUGGCGGGGUAACGGCCCACCAAGGCUACGAUCAGUAGGGGUUCUGAGAGGAAGGUCCCCCACAUGGGAACUGAGACACGGUCCAAACUCCUACGGGAGGCAGCAGUGAGGAAUAUUGGUCAAUGGGCGAGAGCCUGAACCAGCCAAGUAGCGUGCAGGAAGACGGCCCUAUGGGUGGUAAACUGCUUUUAUGCGGGGAUAAAGUGAGGGACGUGUCCCUCAUUGCAGGUACCGCAUGAAUAAGGACCGGCUAAUUCCGUG